rnacentral:lncRNA from 1 species
CUCUUUGAUUUUUUACUUCUGGUGACCCACGCAAAAGCAGUCCCGACCUGGUUGUAUUAAUAAUAAAGGCUGUAAGGAUCAGCCUUUUGAACGGUCCAGCCGAGAACUAACCACAGAGCGCGUUUUAGUGGAGUGGUACUUAUUUUUAAAUAAGGUAAAAAACGAUUAUACUUCAGUAAAGCUGUUUAGAAAAAAAAAAACUUGGCCAAAGAUGGAGAACUCUUCCUAAUUUGGUAUCAGAAAAUAGGUCGUCUAUGUAUCUGCACCUUUUUUCCUUAUAAAGUGGCAAAUAAAUGUGUCUGCUAUAUUUAUUGCCACUAAACAAGUGUUUAUGGAACACUCACUGUGUGUUUAGGCAUAGUGGGGAUAAAGCAGGGAAGGUGGCCCAGUUCUUUGCGGGUGAGGAUCAGAGCUAGAGAUUAACUGGAAAGAAAGAAUAAACAAUCAUUUAUUACAGUUGUGAGUGUUUCUAAGAUAAAAUACAGAGGUUUGUGAGAGCAUAGAGAGGCAUACCUUGUUUUAUUGUGCAUUUUAUUGUGCUUUGCAGAUACUGAGUUUACUACAAAUGGAAGGUUUGAGGCAACCUUGAUGGAGCAAGUGUAUGGGUGCCAUGUUUUUCCAACAUCAUGUGCUCACUUUGUGUCUCUGACAUAUUUUGGUAAUUCCCACAAUAUUUCAAACUUUUUCAUUAUUUUUGUAUCUGUUAGAGUGAUCUGUGUGAUCACUGAUCUUUGAUGUCACUACUGUAAUUGUUUUGGGGGACCACAGAUCAUGCUCAUACAUUAUAAAAUGGCGAACUGAAUCUGUUACAGGUAGUUAGGCAUGAGCAAGGCAGGAGAGGGCUCUCCCCUGCCACCCACCCACUAGAAAUGUUGGGUGAUGGUUCAGCAAUUAUCACAUGGCCUCUCUAAAAAUGAAAAUUUGGCAGCGCCAGGGAAAGGCCAUUUCCUGAUGGCCCACACCUGUUAACAUCAAAAUGUUAAUUGAAUGCAGGCCCCAGAGAGAAGCAACUUCCUGGGCAUGCCGGUUAAGAGACAAAAGUGAUGAAGUAUGAUUUUUCUGAUACACUCCACCGGAAAAAGGAAGAAAGCCUCAGAUGGGCAUGUGUAUAAAUCCAUAAAAUCACUGUGUGUGCUCACUUCCCAAGGGUAAAGAGGGCUCUGAGCAUGCAGGGAGCCCAUCCUAAGAUCAUGGUUAAAUGCGGCACUUGACCUUCUCUCUCUCUCUCUCCUUUUCUUUUUCUUUUUUUUUUGAGACGGAGUCUCACUCUGUCGCCCAGGCUGCAGUGCAGUGGCGCGAUUUCAGCUCACUGCAAUCUCCGCCUCCCGGGUUCAAGCAAUUCUCUGCCUCAGCCCCCUCCCCGAGUAGCUGGGAUUACAGGCGCCCACCACCAUACCCGGCUAAUUUUUUUGUAUUUUUAGUAGAGACAGGGUUUCACCAUCUUGGCCAGGCUGGUCUUGAACUCCUGACCUCAUGAUCCACCUGCUUCAGCCUCCCAAAGUUCUGGGAUUAUAGGCGUGAGCCACUGCACCCGGCUGGCCUUCUCUCUUUAACCUUCACAUGCCCACUUGGGUCUCUUCCAUGCGUACCUUCCUUUCUUUCCUGUUCUAAUGCCUGUUUAAAUAAACCUCCAUUCCUACUCUGGAACUUGCUUCAGUCUCUUUUCUGCUUUAUGUCUGUCAGUCAAAUUCUUUCUUCUCUGAGGAGGCCAGGACUGAAGUUGCUAUGGACCUGCAAGGAUAGGCUGCUGGUAACUUGGGGUAACUCAGAUCUCUUCCACUAGUAACAAGUCGAUUGAUAUAUAUUGUGUGUGUCUGGCUGCUGUAUUCACUGGCCACUCUCAUCUCUCACCCUCUCCUAGAGCCUUCCUAUUCCUUGAGACACAACAAUAUCAAAAUUAGGCAAAGUAAUACCCCUACAGUGGCUUCUAAGUGUCCAAGUAAAAGAGGGUUGUAUGUCUCUCACUUUAAAUCAUAACCUAGAAAUGCAUGAUUAAGCCUGUAAGGAAGGCAUGUUGAAAGCUAAGAUAGGCUGAAAGCUAAGCCUCUUGUGUCAAACAGCCAAGUUGUGAAUACAAAGAAAAAAUUCUUAAAGGAAAUUAAAAGUACUACUCCAGUGAACACAUGAAUAAUAAGAAAAACCAAAACAGCCUUAUUACUGACAGGGAGGAAGUUUGAAUGGUCUGGAUAGAAGAUCAAACCAGCUACAACAUUCCCUUAAACCAAAGCCUAAUCCAGAACAAAGCCCUAACUCUCUUCGAUUCUAUGAAGGCUGAGAAAGGUGAGGGAGUUGAAGAAAAGUUUAAAGCUAUCAGUAGUUGGUUCAUGAAAUUUAAGGAAAGAAGCCAUCUCUGUAACAUAAAAGGGCAAGGUGAAGCCACAAGUGCUGAUGUAGAAGCUGCAGCAAGUUAUCCAGAAGAUCUAACGAAGACCAUUGAUGAAGGUGGCCAAAUUAAACAGCGGAUUUUUAAUGUAGAUGCAACAGCCUUCUAGUGGAAGAUGUCAUCCAGGACUUUCAUAGCCAGAGAGAAAUUAAUGCCUGGUUUCAAAGCUUCAAAGGACAGGCUGAUUGUCUUGUGAAGGUCUAAUGCAGCUGGUGACUUGAAGUUGAAACCAAUGCUCAUUUCUCAUUUCAAAAUCCUAGGGCCCUUAAGAAUUAUGUUAAAUCUACUCUGCCUGCACUCCAGAAACAACAGAGCCUGGAUGACAGCACAUCUGUUUAGAGUAUGAUUUACUGAAUAUUUUAAGCCCACUGUUGAAAAUGACAUUCAGAAAAAUAGAUUUCUUUUAAAAUAUUGCUACUUAUUGACAAUGCACCUGGUCACCUAAGAGCUCUGAUGACGUACAAGGAGAUUAAUGUUGUUUUCAUGUCUGCUAACGCAGCAUCCAUUCUACAGCCUAAGAGUCAAGAAGUAAUUUUGAUUUUCAGGUCUUAUUAUUUAAACAAUACAUUUCUUGAGGCUAUAGCUGACAUACAGAGUGAUGUCUCUAAUGGAUCUGGGCAAAAUCAAUUGAAAACCUUUGGGAAAAGAUUCACCAUUCUAGAUGCCAUUGAGAACAUUUGUGCUUCAUGGGAGGAGGUCAAAAUAUCCAAUUAAGAGAAGUUUGGAAGAAGUUUAUUCCAAUCCUCAUGGUUGAGUUUGAGGGCUUCAUGUCUUUAGUGAAAGAAGUGACUGCAGAUGUGAUGGAAACAGCAAGAGAACUGAAUGAGAAGGGGAGCCUGAAGAUGUGACUGAAUUGCUGCAAUCUCCUGAUAAACCUUGAAUGGAUGAGUUGCUUCUUUUUUUUUUGAGAUGGAGUCUUGCUCUGUCACCCAGGCUGGAGUGCAGUGGCACAAUCUUGGCUCAGUGCAACCUCCGCUUGCUGGGUUCAAGCAAUUCUUCUGCCUCAGCCUCCCGAGUAGCUGGGACUACAGGCAUGCGCCACCAUGCCCGGCUAAUUUUUUGUAUUUUUGGUAGAGACAGGGUUUCACCAUGCUGUCCAGGCUGGUCUUGAACUCCUGACCUUGUGACCCGCCUGCCUCGGCCUCCCAAAGUGCUGGGAUUACAGGCGUGAGCCACGGCGCCUGGCCUGCGUUGCUUCUUAUGGAUUAGCAAAGAAAGUGAUUUCUUGAAAUGGAAACUACUCCUAGUGAAGAUGCUGAGUAUUGUUGAAAUGACAAUAAAGGAUUUUGAAUAUUACAUAAACUUUGUUGAUAAAACAGCAGCAGGGUUUAAGAUGAUUGACUCAAAUUUUUAAAGAAGUUCUAUUGUGGUUAAAAUGCUAUCACACAGCAUUGCAAACUGGAUAAAUCUUUCUUGAAAGGAAGAGGCAAACCUCAUUGUUGGCUUAUUUUAAGAAAUUGCCACAGCUGUCCCAGCCUUCGGCAACCACCACCCGAAUCAGUCAACAGCUAUCAACACUGGGGCAAGACCCUCCACCAGCAAAAAGAUUACGAUUCACUGAAGACUCAUAUGAUCAUUUGUAUUUUCUAGCAAUAAAGAAUUUUUAAAUUAAGUCUGGAACGGAACUAGCAAUAUCUCCAUGGAAUACCUGUAAUGAGCAGAUUUAACCUAAGAUGAGAAAAUAUUUCCACUGAAGUUUGAAAUUUAAGUACGUGUUAGCCAGGUAAAGUAGGGGGAAAAGUAUUUCAAGCAGAGGUUAAAGUCCCUGUGUUAAGGCUGUGAGGCCCAAGGGAAGGAGCUUUCCCUUUAAAAAGGACUGAAAGAAAGCAAAUGUGGUUUAAGCAUGGUUAGGGAGGAAAGAGGCCUGAAGGGGAGGGAAUCCUGGAGUGGGAUACAGAGGUAGGCAGGCAGAGUACAGAACAUUAGGGAUUUAUGGACUCAAGAUUUAUAUUCUCUGACACCAAAUUAGGAAAAAAAGAGGUCUCUAUUUUUGGCCAAGUUGUGUGUGUGUGUGUGUGUGUGUGUGUGUGUGUGUGUGUUUUAAACAGCUUUAUUGAGGUAUAAUUGUUUAUUACAAGGUGUUUAAGUAGGCUGGGCACGGUGGCUCACAUCUGUAAUCCCAGCACUUUGGGAGGCCAAGGCAGGUGGACCACCUGAGGUCAGUAGUUCCAGACCAGCCUGGCCAACAUGGUGAAACCCCAUCUCUACUAAAAAUACAAAAAUUAGCUGAGCAUGGUGCCAGGCACCUGUAAUCCCAGCGACUCAGGAGGCUGAGGCAGGAGAAUUGCUUGAACCUGGGAGGGGGAGGUUGCAAUGAGCCAAGAUCGUGCCACUGCACUCCAGCCUGAACAACAGAGCAAGACUCCAUCUCAAAAACAAAAACAAAAACAGAAAACAACAAGGUGUUUAAGCAAAUGUGGCAGCACCACAGGAUGGGGGGGGCAACAUAAACCCCUAAUUUACCUCCAUUUAAAAAAGGCUGAUAUGCAAAUUGAUAUCAAUCUUCCAUGAAGUGUAAAUAAAGGCAUCUUUAAAGAUCACAUUUUCAUUGACCUGUAACAUCAGUUUGUAUCACAUAAUGCUAACUUAGUUCCUGUCCCACCCCCACCUUUUACCUUCUAAGAACCUCCUAUAUCGAAAUCCUAUCUACUACAGAGUUUUGUGAUGCUAUUUGUCCAUUAGAAAGAUUCUUGGAACUGCUAAGUGGAGAAAGGAUUAUAGGAUGCAAGGUUGAUGUGGAUAGCUCAGUAGAAGGUUUUUGAAAAAGCAACAGUAGAGAUCAUGGCAGCUUGGACGCAGGACCUGGGCAGUGAAGAUGAUGAGCACAGCUCCAGGAAAUAUUUAGGAGAUUGACUGUAUACUUGAUGGUGGUUGAACCUGGGGCUAAGGGAGGGGUAGGAGUCAUAGGCAAUCAGGGUUUCUGGUUGGGACAAGUGGAUAGGUGGCAGUGCUACUGAUAAGAAAGGGGAUGUUAAGAGGAAGAGCAAAUUUACUGAUAGCAUGAUUUAAAUUUUGUUAGUCCACCUGAUCGAAAUGGUAAAUUAGUAGAGGUCUGCAAUCAGGAGAUAGAAACAAAUCUGGAGGUCACUGGCUGAUAGCUGCUAACUGAAGCUACAGGAGAGGAUGAAAUAGUCCAAGAAUAUUGUGACAUGAGAAAAGAAUGUUUAGGACUGAACUUUGAAGAACACUAGUAUGUACAGAUUAGGUAAAGGAAGAGAAGCCCACAAAAACAUUGAGGAGGAACAGCAUGAAGAUGGAAAGCAAGUUAACUGUGUCCUAAAUGCCUAGAGGUUUUCUUUUUCUUUUUUUUUUUUUUGAGACAGAGUCUCACUCUGUCACGCAGGCUGGAGUGCAGUGGUGCAAUCUGGGUUCACUACAAGCUCCGCCUCCCAGGUUCACGCCAUUCUCCUGCCUCAGCUUCCUGAGUAGCUGGGACUACAGGCGCCCACCACCACGCCAGGCUAAUUUUUUGUAUUUUUAGUAGAGAUGGGGUUUCACCGUCUUAGCCAGGAUGGUCUCGAUCUCCUGACCUUGUGAUCCGCCCGCCUCGGCCUCCCAAAGUGCUGGGAUUACAGGCAUGAGCCACCGCGCCCAGCCUGAGGUUUUCAAUUUUAGUGUCACUUAACAAUGUCACAUAUUGAGAAAAUUUAUUUGUUGCUUCCCUCUUCCCUCUCCCCUCUCCCCUCUCCCCACGGUCUCCCUCUCUUUCCACGGUCUCCCUCUGAUGCCGAGCCGAAGCUGGACUGUACUGCUGCCAUCUCGGCUCACUGCAACCUCCCUGCCUGAUUCUCCUGCCUCAGCCUGCCGAGUGCCUGCGAUUGCAGGAGCGCGCCGCCACGCCUGACUGGUUUUCGUAUUUUUUUGGUGGAGAAGGGGUUUCGCUGUGUUGGCCGGGCUGGUCUCCAGCUCCUAACCGCGAGUGAUCUGCCAGCCUCGGCCUCCCGAGGUGCCGGGAUUGCAGACGGAGUCUGGUUCACUCAGUGCUCAAUGGUGCCCAGGCUGGAGUGCAGUGGCGUGAUCUCGGCUCGCUACAACCUCCACCUCCCAGCCGCCUGCCUUGGCCUCCCAAAGUGCCGAGAUUGCAGCCUCUGCCUCGCCACCACCCCGUUUGGGAAGUGAGGAGCGUCUCUGCCUGGCCACCCAUCGUCUGGGACGUGAGGAGCCCCUCUGCCUGGCUGCCCAGUCUGGAAAGUGAGGAGCGUCUCUGCCCGGCCGCCAUCCCAUCUAGGAAGUGAGGAGCGCCUCUUCCCGGCCUCCCAUCGUCUGAGAUGUGGGGAGCGCCUCUGCCCCGCUGCCCCGUCUGGGAUGUGAGGAGCGCCUCUACCCGGCCGCGACCCCGUCUGGGAGGUGAGGAGCGUCUCUGCCCGGCUGCCCCGUCUGAGAAGUGAGGAGUCCCUCCGCCCGGCAGCUGCCCCGUCUGAGAAGUGAGGAGCCCCUCCGUCCGGCAGCCGCCCCGUCUGGGAAGUGAGGAGCCCCUCCGCCCGGCAGCCACCCCGUCUGGGAGGGAGGUGGGGGUCAGCCCCCCACCCGGCCAGCCGCCCCGCCCGGGAGGUGAGGGGCGCCUCUGCCCGGCUGCCCCUACUGGGAAGUGAGGAGCCCCUCUGCCCAGCCAGCCGCCCCGUCCGGGAGGGAGGUGGGGGGGUCAGCCCCCCGCCCGGCCAGCUGCCCCGUCCGGGAGGUGAGGGGCGCCUCUGCCCGGCCGCCCCUACUGGGAAGUGAGGAGCCCCUCUACCCGGCCACCACCCCGUCUGGGAGGUGUAUCGAACAGCUCAUUGAGAACAGGCCAUGAUGACAAUGGCGGUUUUGUGGAAUACAAAGGGGGGAAAGGUGGGGAAAAGAUUGAGAAAUCGGAUGGUUGCCGCGUCUGUGUAGAAAGAGGUAGACAUGGGAGACUUUUCAUUUUGUUCUGUACUAAGAAAAAUUCUUAUCCUGUUGAUCUGUGACCUUACCCCCAACCCUGUGCUCUCUGAAACAUGUGCUGUGUCCACUCAGAGUUAAAUGGAUUAAGGGCGGUGCAAGAUGUGCUUUGUUAAACAGAUGCUUGAAGGCAGCAUGCUCGUUAAGAGUCAUCACCACUCCCUAACCUCAAGGACCCAGGGACACAAACAUUGCGGAAGGCCGCAGGGUCCUCUGCCUAGGAAAGCCAUAGACCUUUGUUCACUUGUUUAUCUGCUGACCUUCCCUCCACUAUUGUCCUAUGACCCUGCCAAAUCCCCCUCUGCGAGAAACACCCAAGAAUGAUCAAUAAAAAAUAAAAAAAUAAUAAAAAAAAAAGAAAAAAAAGAAAAAAACAAUGUCACAUAUUGCCACAGGAUAAGCUAAGGAUGAAAUCUCUCCAGGACUUAGUGUCAUAGAGGUCAUUGGUGACUCUAGUGAGGGCCACUGUAUAUAGUGGGGGCAGGAGCCAUAGUGGGUUUUAAGCUCAAAUAGGAGGUAAGGACAUGGAAAACAUGGGAAGGCACUUGAGAAGUCUGACUAUGAAGCAGAGAUAGGACUGUGGUCAGAUACAAAUAUGAGAAGCAGAUUUCUUCUGAUGAGAAUGGUGUGUUCAACUGUCCAUGCAAAGAGCCAAUGGAGAAAGAGAGGAAAAAUACAGACCAAGUAACAACAGACUCCAUGAGAGAACGAGAGGAGAUAGGAUUGCAGCACAUGUUGAAUAACUGGCCUUUAAUAAGAGGAGGGAUUCUUCCUGUACAGGAAGAGGAGGGAUGAAGUGAAUGCAGAUGCAUUUGUGUACAUGGGUAUCAUGGUUUUUUUUUCCCCUGUGAAGUAAUCAGUUAGGGGGUGAAAGGGGCUUUAGAGGGAAAGGGGUUUGAAAUAGUUACAGAAGGAUUGAAGAGAAACACAUUAACAUUGUUGGCAGUACUGACAGCCUAACUCAAUGUGCUGAGCAUGAAUUUACAGUGAUAAAAAUCUACCAGAAACGACCUCCAGCUGCAAGGAUGCAGAAGCAGUGUUGGGUUCAUCCAGGGCUGGUAUUUUGCCAGGCUGACACAAUAGAGCAGCAGCAUACAUGAGCUUAAAUUAUUUACAUCUGCUGAAGUCUAGUCCGCCAAAGAUCACCAGGCUCAAGCCUGUCUUCUGACAAAACCAUUUAUUGAUUUGCAAGCAAGGGAACCAGAAGCAGCAAAGAUGGUGCAUUCCACAAGAGGGCAGGGGGUGCCAUCUUUGGUAAGGUUUGGGUUCCCAGUGUAGGGUUCUGAGCAAGCUAUAAGGGAAAGGAGACCAGUUCUGGGUUGGAUGCUAUUUCUGUAGCAAGAUUAGAUGUGAGAAUUAACUAGAGAUUGGUGCUGCAAUGAGGUGAGGGCAAGUUUAGCAACUGGAUAUCCCCAGUAGUAGAUGGGUUAUAGCAAAAUAGGUCUAAGGGUGUCACAGCCAACAAAGCAGUGGUCACAUGAGGGAGUCAUGAUGGUAUUUUAUAGCUGCUGCAGGACCUAACAGUUUCAUGUUAACUUUGCAGCUGCCUUGCCUGUCCCCCUGACAGUGGUGGAGCUUUUUUUUUCAGUUUGAGCCACUUUGAGUCCUAGAGUUUACUUUCAUACCAAACAUCCUCCUCUCAUUAAAUGUGAAUGAUUUUUCCCCCUAAAGUACAACUUAAUCCAUAUGCAUCUGUCCUCUCUAAAGAUUUAAUGAAAUACCUAAUUAUAGAAUUAAGCUUGCUUUCUGGCAAGACCCAGCCUAGAGUGAACGUUAAGUUUUAGACCAUCCCCUAAAUCACCAAAGCCCAAAUCCUACCACAGAUUCUAACACACUCUUACUGAUGCACCCCACAACUCCCACAAGGUGUAUGUUCUCCUUUACUGCAACAAUAAGCUCAGGCCGGGCGAGGUGGCUCACGCCUGUAAUCCCAGCACUUUGGGAGGCCGAGGUGGGCAGAUCAUCUGAGAUUGGGAGCUUGAGGCCAACCUGGCCAACAUGGCGAAACCCCGUCUCUACUAAAAAUACAAAAUUAGCCGGGCAUGGUGGUGCGUGCCUGUAAUCCCAGCUACUUGGGAGGCUGAGGCAGAAUUGCUUGAACCCGGGAGGCAGAGGUUGAGGUGAGCUGAGAUCACGCCACUGCACUCCAGCCUGGGCAACAAGAACAAUACUCUGCCUCAAAAAACAAACAAACAAACAAAAAAAAAAACAAAACCCAGUAAGCUCAACAUGUUCAGGUACAGUGUGUUCCUGGUAGUCUAUGGCUGGAGAGCAUUAACAACAUAAAGACAGAGGGUCAGAGUUGAUGACAACUUCUAGGUUAAGACCAAUAUUUGUGGUUUUUUUUUUUUUUUUGCCAGAACGCAAGACUAUAUUUACUAGCAGCUCUGUGUCCUUGCUCAUUGGAAAAUGAUCUUUCCUCAAGACUUGCUGACACGUUUCUGUUUAAGGCAUGACAAUCCUAAAGGCCAACAAUUGUGGACGGGGGCAACUCUUCCUUUCAUUAUGUACUGGUGUAGUCAAUUAUGCAAAGUCUGGUCAACCAAAGACCACCAGGCUCAAGCCAUCAGUUUUAAAAUAUGGCCACAUGCUCCUUGAUGGCCUAUGUGAUAUGGCUUUAGUAACUCCCUUAGGACCAAGAGAAUAUAAUGGAACUAAUGCUGUGUAACUUCCAAAUGCAGCUGCUUUCUGGGUCUUUUGAAAUGGCCCUUCAGAAUCCAGGCAACAUGCUGUGAGAAGUUCAAGCUACAUGGACAAGUGUAGAUGGUUCUGGUGAACGAUUCCAAUCUAGUCUUGGCUUUAAAAGUCAUCUCAGUACCAUGAAUUCAGAUGAUUAUAGCUCUCAGAUAUUCAAAUUACCCUCAGCCCUUAGUUUUCCUUGCCUAGGCCUCAGACAUCAUAGAAUAAAGCCAUCCCCAUUGUGCCCUCUCCAAGUUCCUGAACUAUAGAGUCCAUGAGCAUAAUAAAAUGAUUGUUUUAAGAUGCUAGAUUUCUGUGCUUUUUUUAUUAAGCAUAAUACCGGGAACAGAUAUUGAUCUUGUCGGUAGCUACUGUGAGUAGAGCAGUAGUUGGUGACAAUGAGCUAGUAGACAAAUACUGGACAGUUAUUCACAGAGCAGCUGCUAGAAGUUUCAAGUAUAUGCAGUUAGCAUUCCUUGUCCCUGGUCUAAUGUACCAUCUCUUCUCUACACCUCCUCUCCCUCCAAUAUUUAUAGUCAGUGCUAUCUUUAGAGAACUGCAGAUUAUGUUAAUAGCUGCCAUGUUACAGGAGCCAUUUUGAAAAACAUUUCUUACUACAACUUCCAAAAACCACAAUUACGUACAUUAUUUCCUUUAUAGAAGGAAUUUUAAAGUUUUAAUGUUUUAUAUUUGCUAGUUUU